rnacentral:rRNA from 1 species
AUUGAACGCUGGCGGCAGGCCUAACGCAUGCAAGUCGAGCGGAUGAAGGGAGCUUGCUCCUGGAUUCAGCGGCGGACGGGUGAGUAAUGCCUAGGAAUCUGCCUGGUAGUGGGGGAUAACGUCCGGAAACGGGCGCUAAUACCGCAUACGUCCUGAGGGAGAAAGUGGGGGAUCUUCGGACCUCACGCUAUCAGAUGAGCCUAGGUCGGAUUAGCUAGUUGGUGGGGUAAAGGCCUACCAAGGCGACGAUCCGUAACUGGUCUGAGAGGAUGAUCAGUCACGCUGGAACUGAGACACGGUCCAGACUCCUACGGGAGGCAGCAGUGGGGAAUAUUGGACAAUGGGCGAAAGCCUGAUCCAGCCAUGCCGCGUGUGUGAAGAAGGUCUUCGGAUUGUAAAGCACUUUAAGUUGGGAGGAAGGGCAGUAAGUUAAUACCUUGCUGUUUUGACGUUACCAACAGAAUAAGCACCGGCUAACUUCGUG